GUAGAAACUAGAACAUUACACGAAACUAAAAGUAAACAUGAAGGUAACGAUGUUGAAGCGUGUGACAUGACUAAACUGAAAGCGUGCGAAGUACGGGUAUCAAGAAUAAUGAUUCCUGUCCUAUCUUAAUAUGACUGGAUUUUUUAUAUUUAAUGGUAAUGAGUUUUUUGGAACAAUCAUAUAACCAAUAAAUACACAGUAUUUUUGCAAAUAAGGAAGGUUCACAUAUGUGAAGGUCUAGAUGGUAUCUAUGAUGCAUGGGGUUUACCCAAGGAUACUUAGAUAACCCUGUUUUGAUCAAACUUUUGCAGAAGACAACGGAGCAUUGCAAUGGCUACGUAGAUCUUCAGAUUGGAAUCUUUUUAUGUGGGUUUGUGCCAACACCAAGUGCCAAAUAACACGCAGUCUUUUUAUAAGGAAUGGUGUAUAUACUACUGGAUAAAAUUCAUAUGGUUAAACGAGUGGACAGAAUAGAAAACUAUCAACUCUAGAAGAAAAUAUUCUUAAAAUACUUAAAUAAAAAGAUGUUUUAAUUUGUUUAUAAGUUGUUACAUCUCACAUAUUGUUUCAUAAUAAA